GUGGGAAGAGCUGGGGGCUUCCUUCGCACCCACCCUCACGCGCCCUAGAAUGUCCUCUGGGGAAGGGGCUGCCCAUAACUUGGAGGAACUUAGAAGGCAAAACCUACUGCGCCCCAACCCUUAGAGGGGCCUCAACCCCGAAGGCGAGGGGCGAGAUCAGGGACUCGGCGACGAGGGCGAGCGCCCCCGGGCUUACCACGAGCACGGGGACCCCGGCGGCCAGCGAGUAGAGGAGCACGGGGGGCACGGCGCUGCUGUCCUCCGGGCCCGGGUAGGGUUUGCGGUAGGCGCUGUCGUGGCAGAAGAAGCCCUGCACGUUCACGGUGAACGUGUCCGUAUACUCGAAGUAGUACGCCAGCAUCACCGUCCCUGCCAUGAUCACCAUCUGGAAAUAGAGCAUGCUGCUGGUAUACCGAUGGCUGCAGCCUGAGCCAGUGACUUUAAGCCUUGGACAUCAAGCAGGCAAACCAGGCAAGAUUUUGACCUUGCUGCAUUACUGCAGGUCCCCCCAUGGCUACUCAUGGAGCAAUUGGCAUCCACUUCCUCCUCUCUGAGGCCCACAAAAGACCCGUGCUCAGCCAGAAGCAGAUAAUUGGGUGACCAGCUGCAGAGAGGAACUCUCUGCUGAGAACUUCAGAGACCUGCAGAGAUGAUGGGACUACCAGUUCCAGAGAGGAGCUACCGUCUCCAGGGCUUCUCUACUGAGAACUGGACACUCGUUGGGGUGAUCUGCCCGCGGAGAGGAGCCUUCUCCUGCUCACUCACUCCAGGGCCUCCACUCCUCCUCCUCCACUCACUCCAGGGCUUCCUCUCUGCUGAGACCUGAACGCUCAACAGGACAGCCUGCCUACAGAGAGAAGCUACCCAUUGUGUGUCUCUUCUGAGCUGUUUCUAACACUCAGCAAAGCUCCUCUUCACCUUGCUCACCCUGCAUUUGUCUGCAUAUCUCAUUCUUCCUGGACACAGGACCAGAACUCAGGCAAAGGUGCCACCGGCCACAGAGGUUUCCGGCCAGAAAAGUGACACCCCGAGGAUCCCAUAACAGAACUUGCUCAUGCUCCUGCUUGACCUAUGCUUAAUUGUUAAGUCCAAUGUAUUAAAAGCACAAAGUGUUUAUGUUUGUGAAGAGGGUACACUUCAUCUCUAAUUUUCUAGUUUCCAGGAGGAGGGAUUGUCCUUAAACAUUAAUAACCUCUUGAUUCCCUUCCUUGAUUCCUCCCACCAAGAUAGACUGAGUUAUCUGCUGUUUUUGGUUUUUGUUUUCUUACUUAGGUAAACUUAAAUUUUCCCAAAUCUUAAACCAAGAGCAUUUGUUCUUUUACCCUUACCUGCCCUCCACUAAGAUAAGUGAUUUGGGUGCUAGUGUCUGCUCUGAAGACCCAAAACUUCCCUCCAACUCUAAAGACUACCCUGCUAAUACUACUCUAAAAGUUAGGCUGGGGAGAAGUCAGAGGCUCAUUUAGGGCUUAGUAGUGACUAAUUAUAAUAUUAAUAAUUUGCUAUUGUCAUAAUAAUGCCACCUAACAAACACUCCAAAAUCAGUAGCAUACAACAAUAGGCAUUUAGUCACUUGCUUGCAGGUCUGCAGAUAGGCUAGUGAAGAUAUUCCAUUCCAUGUGUCUCAUUUUGCACCCAGACAGGAGGUACAGCAAAAUCCUGAAGUAUAUUUUCUCAUAAGGAAAAUCGGAAACUCCCAGAUAGGGUAGUGAGAAUAGUUGUUCAUAAGGGUUAGGUUUGGCACACUCUCACUCUCAUCUACUGGGCAGAAGUCCACAGGCCAGGGCAAUAUCUGGGCUUAAGGUAGUAUCUGCUUCCAUGGAGGUAUUAGGUGUGGGUAGGGAAUAAAUAUUUCUCAAACAAUAGCAUAUCCCACCUGGAAAUAUUAAGAUAUAAGUCACUAUUUCUGAUGCAAUUAAUAUGAAAAAUAAUAAUUUGUUGCAAAGCUUGCUUGCUUUUAUAUUUUCCUAAGCUGUGCACAAUAAAAAGAUCUUCUUUCUUCUUUUAUACAUGCCUUAGUUUAAGAAAGCUUAAUUUGAUUGAAAUAUGCCAGAAAGAACUAAGAUAGUAUAUAUAUAACACAAUUGGGUGUAGAAGUCAUAGCAUUACAUUUUUAUCCUCUGAAAUUCUCAUAAUUCUGCCCUCACUUUCUAGAGAUCAUUUGUUAAUUUAUGAAAAGGUAAUAAUAUAAGAAAUCAAUCACAAAUUUAUGCUGAAUAUUUUGCUCCUUCAAAAAGCUUAUAUAUUUGUUACCGAUUUGACUCUUACAUCAAUCCUAUAAGUAUAGAUACAGAUAUAAAUAUAGAUAGAGAGACUGGAAAUUUAUAUGUUUAAAAAUAAAGGAAAUCCAAGAAGUUCUGAAAAUUUAAAUGACCAAAGUCAUUCCACUAGGCUUAAACUUAAAGCUUUUGGCUCUAAUCCUACACUUUUCUUCUACUCAGCAAUCUUUAAGACAACUCAAUAGAUCCAAUAAUAACAGGCACAAAUUGUAUACACAUGAAGACUACUUACCGUAAUAUUGUAAAAUUGUAAAAAUUACUUUAUUAUUCAUAUAACUUUUCAAAGAAAUAAAAAUAUAU
rnacentral:lncRNA from 1 species